AUGAGUAUACUGGCUUUGUGUCCAGGAUGUGUGGUCUUCCUAUUUAAAGAUUAUGGUGCUUCAAGGACUCCAGAACAGAAUGCAACUUCGCAGUACCCGAGAUUAAAGAAAAAAAUGGGAAAAUGUGCCUCACAGAGAACUGAAACACUGUAAAUCAUCUAAUCUUAGAAUUCUUAAAAUUGGAAAUCCGAAACUUACGAAGGAUUUGUAGCUGUGCUCGGGAAAUAGCUUAAAAAUAUGUAUUUACAGCUGUAUUACUCAUGAAAGAUGUGUACAGCAAAUAACCUGCUAUCAUUGCAGCUUUGUCAUUUGAGCAUUGUAAUAAAUAAAUUUCAAGUUCAACCAAACUAAAGAAUAAUACAAUGAAUUUUUUAAAAUAGCCAUGCCACAGCCCAAGAAGUGUAUUUUAAAUAUCACAACCAAUGCUCUGUUUUCAAUGGUGUGUUUCAUUCAUCUAUCUAUUCGUUCAUGUGGUCAGUCAGUCAGUCAUCAUGUAGUAUGUUGAGCCUCUCCUAUAUGAGAAGAUCUAUGCUGGUCAGAGACAAUACAAUAGUGGGGAGGUUGGGCAUGGUUUCUGUCUGCAUGAAGUUUACAUUCUGGUGAGGGAGCAAACAAUCAGCAUACCAUUUAGAAAAUCAAACAGAAAAAAAAACUUGUCAUAGUAAUUCAUCUAGGAGCUAAUGCUUUGAGAAAGCAUCUCAGAGCUAAUGCUUUGAGAAAGAGACUAAAAGAAGAAAACCUAUUUUUGGCAGCAUGAUCAGAGACGGCCUCUCUGAGAGACCUGAGGGACAUGUAAGGUGAAACUGAAAGUGGAGGAGGAGUAGGGAAUCACUCCAAAGGGAGAAAAGUAUACAUAGGAAUGAGGAGCGAGCAGGUUGAAACAUCUCUCCAAAUAUAUUUGGUUGGGAAAGGGUGCAGCAACCAUGGCAGUUGCUGGAGAUGAAGAUGUAGUCAACAAAGGUUUGACCC
rnacentral:lncRNA from 1 species